GCUAAGCUGGCUCUCUGCUUUGUACAUCAGUCUCCUGUAAAGUCUCGGGGAUUAAUCAACUACAAACACACUGACAUAUUCCAUUUUCUGUAUCUGCAAAGCUGAGGAGCAGAUGCUGGAAUGCCGUGACCCUGAGAAGUGACUGUGCCCUGCCAGGCUCAACAGCUGCCUCCCCAGAUGACACUUUUAUCCAUUCUCCAACUGCAGAAAUGCUACCGCGUAACUGCAUCAGAUCUGGACACACGUGCAUUUUGCUCUUUCUAGUGUGAUGCUGAAAAAUGAACUAACUCAGGAACUACAAUUCAUAGGGGAAAGAUAAUUGGCUUCACUUUUAUAAAAAUAACCCACCUAUUUGUAUGUUUAUACCUGGAAGGAAAUACAUCUAAGUCUUCAAGAUUGUAGCUGAGACAUCAGCCAGUCAGCUACCUCUACCAUCUUUCCUGUGUCCAGGAGUCCCCAGCAGAGUGCAUAAUCAUAAAUCAAUCCCUCAACAUUUCAUGUACAUGAAGGUAAGUAAAAAUGCAGAAAGAGACUUUUUAAUUCUUUUUUAUUUUAGUAGAUUUUGCAUGUUAGAGAAGUUUUAGGCUGACAGCCAAACUGAGUGGAAGGCACAAAGAUUUUCUAUAUAUUCCUUGCCCGGUCACAUGUAUAGCAUCCCAUUUUCAACAGCCCCCACCAGUGUGGCACAUUUAUUACAACUGGUGAACCUAAACUGACACGUUAUUACCCAAAGUCCAUAGUUUACCAUUGUGAAUAGGCCUUAGUAAUGUGUUGCUCAGGGGUGUGGCGAAAGGAAGCAUUCUUUAGUCCUAUGGUUAGGGUCAGUCUUUUAGUGAGCCUUUGCCUCUGGACUGUGAACUUUA
rnacentral:lncRNA from 1 species